UACGUAGGGAGCAAGCGUUGUCCGGAAUCAUUGGGCGUAAAGAGCGUGUAGGCGGCCUGAUAAGUCGGUUGUGAAAGUCAAGGGCUCAACCCUUGAAUGCCGACCGAUACUGUCAGGCUAGAGUCCGGAAGAGGCGAGUGGAAUUCCUGGUGUAGCGGUGAAAUGCGCAGAUAUCAGGAGGAACACCUAUGGCGAAGGCAGCUCGCUGGGACGGUACUGACGCUGAGACGCGAAAGCGUGGGGAGCGAACAGG
rnacentral:rRNA from 1 species